rnacentral:tRNA from 1 species
GGAAGGAUGGCUGAGUGGUUUAAGGCGCACGCUUGGAAAGUGUGUGUACCUUCAUUGGUACCGUGGGUUCGAAUCCCACUCUUUCCUCCA